rnacentral:rRNA from 1 species
AAAGCGGAGGAAAAGAAACCAACAGGGAUUGCCUUAGUAGCGGCGAGUGAAGCGGCAAAAGCUCAAAUUUGAAAUCUGGCACUUUCAGUGUCCGAGUUGUAAUUUGAAGAAGGUAUCUUUGGGUCUGGCUCUUGUCUAUGUUUCUUGGAACAGAACGUCACAGAGGGUGAGAAUCCCGUGCGAUGAGAUGUCCCAGACCUAUGUAAAGUUCCUUCGAAGAGUCGAGUUGUUUGGGAAUGCAGCUCUAAGUGGGUGGUAAAUUCCAUCUAAAGCUAAAUAUUGGCGAGAGACCGAUAGCGAACAAGUACAGUGAUGGAAAGAUGAAAAGAACUUUGAAAAGAGAGUGAAAAAGUACGUGAAAUUGUUGAAAGGGAAGGGCUUGAGAUCAGACUUGGUAUUUUGUAUGUUACUCUCUCGGGGGUGGCCUCUACAGUUUACCGGGCCAGCAUCAGUUUGAGCGGUAGGAUAAGUGCAAAGAAAUGUGGCACUGCUUCGGUAGUGUGUUAUAGUCUUUGUCGAUACUGCCAGCUUAGACUGAGGACUGCGGCUUCGGCCUAGGAUGUUGGCAUAAUGAUCUUAAGUCGCCCGUCUUGAC